CUGCAGUUGGCUUAACUUAAGCCGCCUGGCUUCCUUUCCUCCUGGGGGCCCAGUGUGCAAUGGCUGCAAACAGCAGCUUCCUUGGUAGUGUAAUGCAGCCUGUUUCUUGCAUGGGUUGCUCUAAGGGACCUUGGAGACAAGC
rfam:Callithrix jacchus chromosome 5, whole genome shotgun sequence